rnacentral:rRNA from 1 species
UACGUAGGGGGCGAGCGUUGUCCGGAGUUACUGGGCGUAAAGCGCUUGUAGGCGGUCCACCAAGUUUGGGGUGACAGUUGCCGACUUAAUCGGCAAAGUGCCUCAAAGACUGGCGGACUUGAGGGCCACAGAGGGACAUGGAACUCCAGGUGUAGUGGUGAAAUGCGUAGAUAUCGGAAGGAACACCAGUGGCGAAAGCGACUUCCUGGUCGAAUACUGACGUUCAUGUGCGAAAGCGUGGGGAGCAAACAGG